UACGUAGGGCGCGAGCGUUGUCCGGAAUUAUUGGGCGUAAAGCGCGCGCAGGCGGUCCUUUAAGUCUGAUGUGAAAGCCCACGGCUCAACCGUGGAGGGUCAUUGGAAACUGGGGGACUUGAGUGCAGAAGAGGAAAGCGGAAUUCCACGUGUAGCGGUGAAAUGCGUAGAGAUGUGGAGGAACACCAGUGGCGAAGGCGGCUUUCUGGUCUGUAACUGACGCUGAGGCGCGAAAGCGUGGGGAGCAAACAGG
rnacentral:rRNA from 1 species